UACGUAGGGUGCAAGCGUUGUCCGGAAUUAUUGGGCGUAAAGAGCUCGUAGGCGGUUUGUCGCGUCUGCUGUGAAAACCCGAGGCUCAACCUCGGGCCUGCAGUGGGUACGGGCAGACUAGAGUGCGGUAGGGGAGAUUGGAAUUCCUGGUGUAGCGGUGAAAUACGCAGAUAUCAGGAGGAACACCGGUGGCGAAGGCGGGUCUCUGGGCCGAUACUGACGCUGAGGAGCGAAAGCGUGGGGAGCGAACAGG
rnacentral:rRNA from 1 species